GCAUCGAUGAAGAACGCAGCAAAAUGCGAUACUUGGUGUGAAUUGCAGAAUCCCGUGAAUCAUCGAGUUUUUGAACGCAAGUUGCGCCCGAAGCCUUUUGGCCGAGGGCACGUCUGCCUGGGUGUCACGC
rnacentral:rRNA from 1 species